rnacentral:rRNA from 1 species
GACGAACGCUGGCGGCGUGCUUAACACAUGCAAGUCGAACGGAAAGGCCCUGCUUUUGUGGGGUGCUCGAGUGGCGAACGGGUGAGUAACACGUGAGUAACCUGCCCUUGACUUUGGGAUAACUUCAGGAAACUGGGGCUAAUACCAGAUAGGAGCUCCUGCUGCAUGGUGGGGGUUGGAAAGUUUCGGCGGUUGGGGAUGGACUCGCGGCUUAUCAGCUUGUUGGUGGGGUAGUGGCUUACCAAGGCUUUGACGGGUAGCCGGCCUGAGAGGGUGACCGGCCACAUUGGGACUGAGAUACGGCCCAGACUCCUACGGGAGGCAGCAGUGGGGAAUAUUGCACAAUGGGCGGAAGCCUGAUGCAGCAACGCCGCGUGCGGGAUGACGGCCUUCGGGUUGUAAACCGCUUUCGCCUGUGACGAAGCGUGAGUGACGGUAAUGGGUAAAGAAGCACCGGCUAACUACGUGCCAGCAGCCGCGGUGAUACGUAGGGUGCGAGCGUUGUCCGGAUUUAUUGGGCGUAAAGGGCUCGUAGGUGGUUGAUCGCGUCGGAAGUGUAAUCUUGGGGCUUAACCCUGAGCGUGCUUUCGAUACGGGUUGACUUGAGGAAGGUAGGGGAGAAUGGAAUUCCUGGUGGAGCGGUGGAAUGCGCAGAUAUCAGGAGGAACACCAGUGGCGAAGGCGGUUCUCUGGGCCUUUCCUGACGCUGAGGAGCGAAAGCGUGGGGAGCGAACAGGCUUAGAUACCCUGGUAGUCCACGCUGUAAACGGUGGGUACUAGGUGUGGGGUCCAUUCCACGGGUUCCGUGCCGUAGCUAACGCUUUAAGUACCCCGCCUGGGGAGUACGGCCGCAAGGCUAAAACUCAAAGGAAUUGACGGGGCCCCGCACAAGCGGCGGAGCAUGCGGAUUAAUUCGAUGCAACGCGUAGAACCUUACCUGGGUUUGACAUGGAUCGGGAGUGCUCAGAGAUGGGUGUGCCUCUUUUGGGGUCGGUUCACAGGUGGUGCAUGGCUGUCGUCAGCUCGUGUCGUGAGAUGUUGGGUUAAGUCCCGCAACGAGCGCAACCCUUGUUCACUGUUGCCAGCACGUUAUGGUGGGGACUCAGUGGAGACCGCCGGGGUCAACUCGGAGGAAGGUGGGGAUGACGUCAGGUCAUCAUGCCCCUUAUGUCCAGGGCUUCACGCAUGCUACAAUGGCUGGUACAGAGAGUGGCGAGCCUGUGAGGGUGAGCGAAUCUCGGAAAGCCGGUCUCAGUUCGGAUUGGGGUCUGCAACUCGACCUCAUGAAGUCGGAGUCGCUAGUAAUCGCAGAUCAGCAACGCUGCGGUGAAUACGUUCCCGGGGCU